GGGGCUCCUCCUCCAAGAAGAGAAUUAAGCAAACCUGGUUUCCUCCAUUGACUCAUCAGAUCACAUGACCCCGGGGCAGUACAACUGUCAUAGAUACAUGCUUGUUGCCAAGUGUCCAAAUUUUGAUCAUGUGACCAUGGGGAUGCUACAACAAUCGGAACUUAAGGUGGUGAAUGUACAUAUUACUCCUUCCUUCUCUUCCUCCUGUUUGCAUCACAACUCUGUGACGUGAAUUGGGCUCAGAAAGAAAGUCACCUAGAUGGAUUUCAUGCUAAGUGUGAGAAGAUCAUAAGCUGAAAAUAUCCACUGGGAUACUGAAGUUACAGAGAAGCCCAGCUUGACAAAUUCAAGCUCCAUCUGCAGAGGGACUGGGUCAUCUCUGGUCAUAAUCUCAAAAUAGAUCCAAUUU